CUCCUCCCCACCCUACAGCCACCGGAGGAGGUGUCGAGAACUGCUCUCUCUCUCUCUCUCUCUCUCUCUUUCUCUCUCUCUCUCUCUCUCUCUUUUUCGUUUUUAACUCCAAAUCCAAACCCUAACCCUAACCCUAACCCUAGCUCUCUCUCUCUCUCUCUCUCUCUCUCUCUAUCUCUCUCUCUUCAAAUCCAAUCCCAAUCCGAGUUCGAAACCCUAACGCUAACCCUAGGUGGAGAGUUAGAGAGGGAGAAGCGGGGGGGGUCCGGUGAUGGACGCGAUAAGGAAGCAGCUGGACGUGCUGAUGGGGGCGAACAGGAACGGCGACGUGCGGGAGGUCAGCCGCAGCUACUACGACCGCGACGUCUGCCGCCUCUUCCUUGUCGGCCUCUGCCCCCACGACCUCUUCCAGCUCACGAAAAUGGAUCUGGGUCCUUGUCCGAAGGUUCAUUCAUUACAGCUGAGAAAAGAAUACGAAGAAGCAAAAGCUAAAGGCAUACACAAUUUCGAUAGAGAACUCGAGGAUAUGAUAGAGAGACUUAUUGUUGAGUGUGAAAGGAAAAUCCAAAGAGCCCUUAAGCGUCUCGCUGAUGAGGAUGCUAAGGCUGCUAUUGCAAUAUCUGUAUCAGAGGUUACUCAGACACCUGAGAUUUUGGAGUUCUCAAAACAAAUAAAGGAGAAGCUGAAAGAAGUGGAUGCUUUUGAUUUUGAAGGAAAAACUGAUAGCAAAAUUCGGGCUUUGGAAGUGGUGGAAGAGCUACGAGCCAAAAGAGCUGAUAAACAGGCAAUGCUACUUCUUGAUGCUUUCAACAAAGACAGGGCGUCAUUGCCACAACCAAAUCAAAAUACCCCUCAACCAGCACCACUGCCUGUACUUGCUCCUCCUGAUCCUCGUACCCAGGAAAUGAUAAAUGAAAAGUUAAGGAAAGCUGAAGAACUCGGUGAAAAAGGAAUGAUAGAUGAAGCCCAGAAAGCUUUGGAAGAAGCUGAAGCUCUUAAAAAGUUGGGUGCAAGACAGGAGCCCCUGGUAGAAUCUUCAAAAUACACAGCUGCUGAUGUUCGAAUUACUGAUCAGAAGUUACGCUUAUGCGACAUAUGUGGAGCAUUUUUGAGCGUCUACGACAAUGAUCGUCGUCUUGCUGAUCAUUUUGGAGGGAAACUACACUUGGGCUACAUGCAGAUCCGCGACAAGCUUUCUGAACUUCAGGUGCCGGUUAUAAUGUUUCACUUUUGGCCUUAGAGAGUAAACGCUUAUUUUUGGCACUCAGUGAGUUUUUCUGACCUCAAGGAGCAGUCACUGUUACGUUUCAUUAUGCUUUCACUCAUUUUUCUCAUUUGGAUAGUAUAAUGAUUAUCCGAGAGGGCAUCAUCAGGAGUAGCGAAGGUGGGCCAUAAUUGGACUCGGUACACAGUACCUGGACAACUGCUAUCUCUAUAUGUGGGAGAAACUGUAAGCUGAGGAAAUAUAGUACUAACUAUAUUAAAGUUGAUUGUGGAAACUUCUAUUCCUUUACAUUUUAUGACCGCUUAUCUUUCAGUUGGUUUUUUCGCCUAUUGUUUGGUAGAACGUGGGUCAGAAACUGAAACUUGUGCACAACAUUUUAUCUGGUAUGAGCCAUCUUUAGUCCACGCAUUUUGAUAUUGUGGUUAACACAUUGAAAUUAUCUCAUUUUUUGACAUAUUUUCCUUGGAGUCGAAAGUGAUAAAUAGGUGCAGUUUUAAGAAGUUAUUUCUUGCGAGCCAUAUGAAUAAUUGUUAGAUGUUGGACUCGUACUUACCUUCAAAGUCAGUAUAAUCUGACCUCAUAAGUGGUAGCUACUGCCGCAAUAUUGUUACCUUUUUUAUUUUUUAAAAUUUAUAUUUUGGUCAUUCAAUUUUCUUACACAAUGUCAAGUUAUCCUGUCAUUUGAUUUCAAUCCUUCAUUUUAUUACUUUUCAUAUUUAAAUUGAUCUUUUGUCAGGAGGAGAGGAAUAAAAGGCGAAAGAUUGAAGAUGAUAGAAGGUCGAGAGAUCGCAACCGGCAGUCCGAGAGAGAAUCGACUAGGGAUCGGGAUUCAGAUAAAAAGGACAAAUCGUAUAGUCGAGAGAGUGGGAGAGAAUAUGAACGUGAA